rnacentral:rRNA from 1 species
UACGUAGGGACCAAGCGUUGUUCGGAUUUACUGGGCGUAAAGAGCGUGUAGGCGGCCAGGUAGGUCCGGUGUGAAAACUCGAGGCUUAACCUCGAGAUGUCAUCGGAAACCAUCUGGCUAGAGUCCGGAAGAGGAAAGUGGAAUUCCUGGUGUAGCGGUGAAAUGCGCAGAUAUCAGGAAGAACACCCGUGGCUAAGGCGGUUCUCUAGUACGGUACUGACGCUGAGACGCGAAAGCGUGGGGAGCGAACAGG